UAACGCGUAGGUAACCUGCCUUGUAGCGGGGGAUAACUAUUGGAAACGAUAGCUAAUACCACAUAACAAUGGGUGACUCAUGUCAUUUAUUUGAAAGGGGCAAAUGCUCCACUACAAGAUGGACCUGCGUUGUAUUAGCUAGUAGGUGAGGUAACGGCUCACCUAGGCGACGAUACAUAGCCGACCUGAGAGGGUGAUCGGCCACACUGGGACUGAGACACGGCCCAG
rnacentral:rRNA from 1 species